CGGAGUGGGAGUGGUGGCUGGCUUUCUCCUCAGAGGCGGGCGGUGUGGCCCGGUGGCGAGGGCGCAGGUGUCUGGGGACCCUCGGAAGGAGCCGAGAAGCGUGGAGCAGCUGUAAAGGUCGCCGGGCUGGGUGAACGCCUUCCGGCUCUGAGUUACAGAGAGAGGAAGAGAAGAGAGAGCUUCCAUCCAGUGGUUCACCCUCCAGUGCCAGCAAUGGCUGGUUCUUGACCAGGCCAAAGCCAGGAGGCUGGAAUUCCAUUGGAAUCUCUCAUGUGUAUGAGUGGCAGAGAUCCAAGCACUUGGGUCAUCUUCUGCUGCCCUCCCAAGUACAUUAACAGGAGCUGGAUUGAAAGUGGAGAAGAAGAGACUCAAACCAGGGCUCAUAUUGGAUGCUGGCAUUGCAGAGGGCAACUUAACCUGCCAGACCACUAUGCUGGCCCCUUCCAUGAACAUUUUGAAUUAUUAGCUCUUUUCUUUAUUUUUCAGAGAGACGUUUAGAGAGUUCCCAUCUGUUUGCACACUCCCCAGAUGCCUAUAAUGCCUGAAACUGAAGCCAGAAUCCUGGAAUGCAAUUCCUACAUGGAUGGCAAGAACUCAACUACUUGCACCAUCAUCACUCCCUCCCAUAAUCUACAUUAGCAGAAAACUGGAAUCAUAAGCUGGAGCCAGGAAUCUAAACCAGAUACUCCAAAAUGAGAUGUAGGCAUUUUAACUGCUAGGUUAAAUUCUCACCCCUGAAGUAUCAUCAUCAUCAUAUUUCUGAGGUGUUCUAUUCAAAUAUCAUACUUAAGACUGCUGGUCUCCAUCUACAGCUAACCCUGCCUUUGGUAACUAGUCCUCCAAAAGAUCUUCCCUGAAGAGCUUUAUCUGCCUGAUUGAUCUACAGGAUUUGCUGCCUGUUUGCCCUGCUUGCUGUCUUACCAGUAGCUUCUUGGGAGGAAGACUGUGGUUAGAAGAGAAGACCAGUCUCUGGAAGGCAGCAGAAUCAAACCAUGGAGUGGAGAGAAGCCUGAACCCAUCAUUUGUGCCCUCAAGUCAAUUGAGGUCUGAAAAUAGUUCUCUGCCUGGACCUUUCUGACUUGUUUGUUUAUUUGAAAGUCAGAGCUACAGAGAAUUAGAGGCAGAGGUGAAAAGAUACCUUCCAUCUGCUGGUUCACCCCACAAAUGGCCACAACGGCUGGAGCUGGGCUGAUCUGAAGCCAGGAGCCUGGAGCUUGAUUGAUUUAUUCUUUUGCCUACCUGUUUGCAGAUGCCACAUCCAGCCCCCAAGAAGGAUCUUCGGACCAAGAGGAAGCAAAACAUGGGAAGCAGCAGAGCUUGGAGAUGUGUGUAUACAAAACGGUGAAGGGGAGUGUCCGUCCUUUCCAUGUGUGGUAAUGGAGUCCCUGAGACUGGCUAAUUUACAGUGAGCAGAAAUCGAUUUACUCCGGAGGCUGGGAAGCCCCCCUCAAGGAGCCGGCAUCUGGGGCCAGUGCUGUGGUGCAGCGGGUUAAAGCCCUGGCUUGAAGCGCUGGCAUCCCAUAUGGGCACCAGUUCUGGUUCUGGCUGCUCCACUUCUGAUCCAUUCCUGGGAAAGCAGUGGAAGAUGGCCCAAGUCCUUGGGCCCCUGCAUCCACAUGGGAGACCUGGAAGAGGCUCCUGGCUCCUGGCUCCUGGUUCCAGGUCGGCGCAGCUCCGGUUGUUGUGGCCAUCUGGGGAGUGAACCAGCGAAAUGGAAGACCUCUCUCUCUGUCUCUACCUCUCUC